rfam:Culex pipiens quinquefasciatus supercont3.232 genomic scaffold, whole genome shotgun sequence.
CAAACGGCCCUUUUCAGGGCCACCAAAUUUAUUACGAAGGAGUAAU